rnacentral:rRNA from 1 species
CUCGUAGGUGGUUCAGUAAGUCGGGUGUGAAAACUUUGGGCUUAACCCAAAGCGUGCAUCCGAUACUGCUGUGACUUGAGUACGGUAGGGGAGCGGGGAAUUCCUAGUGUAGCGGUGAAAUGCGCAGAUAUUAGGAGGAACACCGGUGGCGAAGGCGCCGCUCUGGGCCGAAACUGACGCUGAGGAGCGAAAGCAUGGGUAGCAAACA